CAAAAACUGCUCGACGGCUGGUGCUUCAUUCCACAAAAAUCUUUUGUUAUUUUGAAAAACUUGCUUUGACGUUUAUUGAUUGAUUGUUUGUUUAUUUGAUCAAUUUUCCUUGGACAGGAAAAGCCACUAGAAUGCUGGCAUAAAAACCUGCUUCUUUUCGGUUAAAAAAAUACAAUAAAUAAAUACAAUUAUAAAGUAAAUAAUGAACUGCGGCUGAAGACAGAACUCCAUCGGUGGAAACCUUUACAGGAGUUCGGAACUGGCUGUUACGGGCUGGAAAGAAAAUAAAAUUAAAAAAGAACCUACGAGAUGAAUGUGGCAAAUGAAAAUAUAGAAUGGACAACUGUAUCGGAACAAUAAAGGAAACAUGAAGUUGAGCUAGAUACAAUUUCAAACGAUCUUUGAAAAUGCUUAGGGAUGAACAUAAGCCAAAUUUAUUAAAAAAGAAAUUGAAGUAAUUAGCACCUUUGAAGGUAAUACUACGUUCACCAGACAAAGUGGAAACAUUUGGACGUUUAAGCAGAUUAUGAUUUCUUGUACCAUGUUGGUGAGAAGAAAGUUCGAAUUUUGUAUUUGUAUGAGUUUGAUUAGAUAAACUUUUAUAUAUAAAAGAACAAACUUGAAUAAUGUAAAUUCCUCUGACAGGCAUAAUGUUUUUCUCUUUAGUAUAUAGAUCAACGGUAUGACUUCUAAGUGGAAGGUUGAAAAUCGAUUUAAGAAAUUUGUUUUGUACUAUUUGAAGUUUAUUUAGAAGAUAAUCGUAAGUAUUCCCCCAGACGGCAGUUAAGUAAGACAGUAAAGAGUUGAAUAAAGAAUGAUAGAUCAGAAUAAGAACAUUUCUUGGAAGCUUAUGCUUUAUUUUAAAAACAAUACCGGUUAUUUUAUUAAGUUUUAGAAUUAACGAGUUAACAUGUGAAGACCAAUUAAGCCUGCUGUCCAAAAGAAUACCCAAAUAUUUAAAUUCAGAUACAAUAUCAAUAUCUGGAAACUCAAUUUUAGUUUGAAUUAAUGGGUUAGGUGUAGAAAGGCUGGAAUUUUUGAUAUUGAUGAUAUUUGUUUUAUUAAUGUUCAAUGUAAGUUUAUUUAUUCUAAAAUAUUCAGAAACAAUCAAAAGGUCAUGUUUCAAAUUUAAAUCAUUUACAGAAUUUAGUCUACUGUUAUAAAAUAAAGAAGAAUCGUCGGCAAAUAA